UAUAAGUCGUCGUCUAAUUAUUGUUCCUGUAAUCUCGUAACUUUGCAGAUAUGCCGAGCAUUUGCUUAGGUACAUAAUUGUGUUGGCAAGGUGAAAUGGAGUUGAUCAGCCAGUCGAGAUUAUCAAGGUCUUGGGGUGCUCCAACAAGGGAAGAGAUCAAGUGCAUGAAUCCAAACUACACGGAGUUCAAGUUCCCGUAAUUUAAGGCGCGUGGCACAAGAUAAGGUUGCAGAUUCUGGUGCUGAAGUUGGUCACAUAAUUGCAACCACAAUCCUUGGCCGAAAUGGUCUGCCUAAACAGGUAAACGCAAAGCUACAUUAAUCUCUACAAUCCACAUUGUGGCUGUGAAGCAAAAUUUGCUGAUAUGGCGGUUAAUGAAAUAGUCUGUCAGGGAAACUUCUGAUGAUAACUUCUGUCAGGGAAACUUCUUUUGGGGUUGUAUUUCAGGGAACUGGUUCUUUUGGGGUUGUAUUUCAGGGAAACUUCUGGCCUUUGUGUUUUCUAAACUGGCCUCUAUGGUCAACUGAUUGUCGAAGGCAUAUAACCUGUUAUUGUCAACUCUUCCGGCCAAACGUCGAGAAACAGGAGAAGUUGUUGCCAUAGAAAAGAUUCUUCAAGAUAACUGGUACAAAAACAGGGAAUUGUAAAUUAUGCAUAUGCUUGACCAUCCUGACAUUGUCGGUCUUAAGCAUUACCUAUUUUUAACCACUAAAGUGGAUGGGUUUUAUCUUAAUCUUGUCCUUGAGUUCGUUCCAGAGCCAGUAAACCGGAUGGAAAGAUAGUACAACAGAAUGAAUCAAAGAGUGCCCCUCAUUUAUGACUCGGCAGUUCUUUUACUGAACGAUGUUAUGCUUUACUGUUACACAAUUGUCCUCCAUCUCCACUUUUUUACAAAAAACUAUUUAGUGUUAAUAUUUGCACUAGGAAUACAUGUUACCAAAAUUACUACAUGC